UGCUGGUCGUGAGGCCCCCGCGCUCGGAGUCCUGGGCCCUGCCAGGGGUGAGCCGGCACGAGCG